rnacentral:lncRNA from 1 species
GGAGCGGACCUGAGAGUGGCAAGCAUAAGGGACGAAGACGGGGAAACAUGUCGGACGCGAUCAUACCAGCACUAAAGCACCGGAUCCCAUCAGAACUCCGAAGUUAAGCGUGCUUGGGCGAGAGUAGUACUAGGAUGGGUGACCUCCUGGGAAGUCCUCGUGUUGCAUUCCCUUUUUAAUUAUUUUUUGCGCCUUGUGACAAACAUAUCGCACAUGCGCGAUAUAUAUUAAUCCCGUUAUAUUAUUUUUGACGUUUGCGACAUGUUUAAGCUCGAUGCUCAUUGCUCGCGCGUCUUGGGGCGGCUUUGUGGCGCGAAGAGCGCGUUCUGAAAGGAGUGGAAAAAACUCGUGUUGCUGCGGUAUGGAGGGAGGGGUGGAAACCAUGGAAAACCCGUCUCCGUGAUUGAGCGUGAGAGUAAGUAGUAUAGGACAUUAUCCAUUGUUAGGGAAGAGUUGUAAUGGUAGUGAGAAUGUAGAAUCGUCUUUGGAGCGGACCUGGGAGUUGCAAGCAUAAGGGACAAAGACGGGGAAACAUGUCGGAUGUGAUCAUACCAGCACUAAAGCACCGGAUCCCAUCAGAACUCCGAAGUUAAGCGUGCUUGGGCGAGAGUAGUACUAGCAUGGGUGACCUCCUGGGAAGUCCUCAUGUUGCAUUCCCUUUUUAAUUAUUUUUUGCGCCUUGUGACAAACAUAUCGCACGUGCGCGAUAUAUAUUAAUCCCGUUAUAUUAUUUUUGACAUUUGCGAUAUGUUUAAGCUCGAUGCUCAUUGCUCGCGCGUCUUGGGGCGGCUUUGUGGCACGAAGAGCGCGUUUUGAAAGAGGUGGAAAAAACUCGUGUUGCUGCGGUAUGGAGGGAGGGGUGGAAACCGUGGAAAACUCGUCUCCGUGAUUGAGCGGGAGAGUAAGUAGUAUAGGACAUUAUCCAUUGUUAGGGAACGGUUGUAAUGGUAGUGAGAAUGUAGAAUCGUCUUUGGAGCGGACCUGGGAGUGGCAAGCAUAAGGGACGAAGAUGGGGAAACAUGUCGGAUGCGAUCAUACCAGCACUAAAGCACCGGAUCCCAUCAGAACUCCGAAGCUAAGCGUGCUUGGGCGAGAGUAGUACUAGGAUGGGUGACCUCCUGGGAAGUCCUCGUGUUGCAUUCCCUUUUUAAUUAUUUUUUGCGCCUUAUGACAAACAUAUCGCACGUGCGCGAUAUAUAUUAAUCCCGUUAUAUUAUUUUUGACGUUUGCGAUAUGUUUAAGCUCGAUGCUCAUUGCUCGCGCGUCUUGGGGCGGCUUUGUGGCGCGAAGAGCGCGUUCUGAAAGGGGUGGAAAAAACUCGUGUUGCUGCGGUAUGGAGGGAGGGGUGGAAACCGUGGAAAACUCGUCUCCGUGAUUGAGCGGGAGA